UACGUAGGGUGCGAGCGUUUGUCCGGAAUUAUUGGGCGUAAAGGGCUCGUAGGCGGUUUGUCGCGUCGGGAGUGAAAACCCAGGGCUUAACUCUGGGCUUGCUUUCGAUACGGGCAGACUAGAGGUAUGCAGGGGAGAACGGAAUUCCUGGUGUAGCGGUGAAAUGCGCAGAUAUCAGGAGGAACACCGGUGGCGAAGGCGGAUCGCGUGGGCCAACACUGACGCUGAGACGCGAAAGCUAGGGGAGCAAACGGG
rnacentral:rRNA from 1 species